rnacentral:lncRNA from 1 species
UUGUAGGCAGUUAUGGAUCCCAUGGAUGAUCAUGACAGUGACGAGUUGCCGUCAGGGGUGGCGUCAGAUGAAGCUCACGUUGCCUUCAGAGCGAGAACUAAGAAAAGGUCCAAGGUGUGGGAUGAGUACAAGCCUAUCUAUGUAAACGGAGUGGUUCAAAGCGCGGAAUGCCGCUACUGCCAUAUUCUGAUGAGUUGCAAAGGUUCUGAUGGACAUUCCAAUGGAACGAGUCAUUUGUGGCGGCAUCAGAAAAUUUGCCGGGCGAAAGAGGACUUGGAUCUGGCUCAGUUACAUGAUACUGGUUUCCCAUAUGUGAUGAAUGAUAUUAAUCCGGUGGAUCAAAUUCAUCCAGAUUCACUUGAUGAUAUAAAAUUGGCAAGUCACAGUGACAACAGCAGUGCACCAAGUUUUAAAUCUGGGGUUCAGGAUGAGCUUUCACCUGCCUUGACAAACGGUAAAGUUCAGAUUGCAGAGUAUGCUAGCAAACUUCUCAAGGUUAAUAGCUCAGUUGACAAAACUCCCCAGAGCCAGCACAUUCUAGCUUUGCCAGCACGAGACAACAUGACCAAAGAACAAAAUACCUCAUCUACUCAUGCUGCUCCAGAUCUUUUUAGCUUGAUAUCCGUCAGUGAAAUUAGAAACCAUGAAGGUACCACAAAGCUUAAGGACAUGCUCAUACAAAAAAAUAGUCUUCCUAUUAGAGGUGAGCUAUACAAUAUUGCCUGUGUGGAUGACGUGCUAAACAACAUUGUUUCAAAAGGGCAAUCAAUGCUUCACCUUGUUGAUAAUAUACUAGAAAGAUUUAUGCUGGCACAUGCGUACUCAUCGUUAACUCAACAGCAACUUUUUGAAGCUGUUACAAACAUGGGUUUGAAGUGUCCCCAGGAAGACGCAAAAUGGUGGCACAAAAUUUACUUCAGGCUUGAAGUUGUUCUGCAUUGCAAGAAGGCAUUUCCAUCUGAAGAGUUGUUACCUGCAGAAGACUAUAAGGUCGUUGAGUCUAUCUGCAAGAUUCUGAGGGCUUUUUAUCGUGCUAUUGAAGUAAUCUCUGGUCCUGUUUGCCCAACAGCAAAUGUGUACUUCAAUGAAUUAUGGAAAGUUAGAACAACUUUGCAAGAAGAAGCAUCUACUGAUCACACUGAAGUUGCUAGCAUG